CCCCGGGAUCUAUCUGUUUUUAAUUUUUGACGAAACAGAACACAAUCAUCUUCUUGCUUGACAUAAGUGGACGCUCUUAAAAUAAUUAUUCGAUUGUUUUAAAACAAACAAACACAGUAAUCAAACGUUUAACGCUACGUUACGAUGCUCUUGUUCCAACUACAGAGUGACAUUUGUUUUGCCUAUUUAAAAAGUAGACAAAUAAAUAGUGUAUAAGUAGGUGUUUAAUUUUUGACGGAUCACAUCAAUAACUUCUGUUCAUCGAUGGAAAAUUCUAACCGAUAGCCUGGGAUUAUAUACUCUAAAAAAGCUCAGUGACACACGUUGGGAAGCAAGAAUAAGCAGUGUCAAAGCAGUUCGUUAUCAAAUUAGUGCCAUCCAUGACGCUUUAAUUACUUUGGCAAUUGAAACUCAGAAAACUGAUGUUCAAGUCUCUCAUGAGGCUACUACUCUAGCUGAACAGUUAAAAGAUUUCAGUUUCAUAGUUUCAUUGGUUGUUUGAUAUAGAUCUCAGUAAAUGCACAGAAAUGUUGAAAAAAUGCUGCACUUUCUUGGAAGAAUAUAGAAAUACAGGCUUUAAAAGCGCCAUUUCAACUGCAAAAGAAUUGGCUGAAGAACUGGAAGUUGAACCUGUGUUUAAGGCCACAAAAAGAAUUCGAUUUGUUAAGCGUCAAGCUGAUGAAACUGCCCGCGACGAGCCUAUUGUUUCUCCUGAAAAGAAAUUUGAGGUAGAAUUUUUCAACUCUCUCUUGGACGCUACAUUAAUUUCAGUUAAUGA